UGAAAAUCCCAGUAGAUCAGCAGUUUUUGUAAUACUCAGACCAGCCUUCUGGCACCAACGACCAUUCCUCAUUCAAAGUAAUCAGAAGGACUCCUGCCGGAGCUUUGUGUCUGAGAAAAGCGUUAGUUUUGUCAGCUGCUGCUGCUCCAGACGGAAAGUGUGGAGGUGAUUCUUCAGCUGGAGGUGGAAGAUUGUCAGAAAAAUGCUGAGAGCUGGAAUUCACUGCCCUUCACAGAGUGAUGGACACCAGGCUAAAUCACAGCCCUCGUCUGCACUGCAGAGUUCCCCUCGGAGGACGGGAGUUAAUCAGUGCCAAUGACACCGCGGGAACGUCUUCAGGCCGCU